rnacentral:misc_RNA from 1 species
AAGUCGUAACAAGGUUUCCGUAGGUGAACCUGCGGAAGGAUCAUUAUCGAGUUUGAAAGGAGUUGAUGCUGGCCUUCCGAGGCAUGUGCUCGCUCCUGUCAGAUCCAACCAACACCUGUGCACAUCAGAGGGCGCGAGUGGUCUGUCCCUUGCCAACGGGCCUCGAUUCCUCUGCGGGUCGAGGCUUGGAGGGGCGGAUCCUGGCGACCUCCUUCGCAUCACAAACUCUUGAACGUAUCCAGAACGUGUAGCAGCCCUCGUGUGGGGCAGUCUUAAUACAA